rnacentral:lncRNA from 1 species
UCUGAUUUCUUGAUAUCUUGAUCCCUUUUACGUUUAAUUUGUUGGCUGAAUGCUGGAGUUCUCAUGUGAUUUUUCUGUUUUAGGGACUUGGGUGUUUCCAAUGUAGUAUCAGAUAAUGGUAAUGUUGUGCUAAAGUUGAUACAUGGUUAUAACCCCAGUGUUGAAUUGUGAAUGAAAACUGCAUCUUUGUUCUAUGUUCUGCCAUGUCUUCUGUUUUGAAGCAGUAACUUACUGGGUAGUAUGAAGCAAUCAGGUUAGUUUUGGCACACUCUUCUUGAUUGGGAAUCAUUUUCAUAUCACUUAUUCUCUGGAGUUUUAUUGUCCUUGUGUUUUCAAAUCACUCCUUUACACCUUAGGUUUUCUUACAUUUAUGUUUUUUACAAUGUAAUCUGACAACCAAAUUUAUGGGAAGAGUUCAACUGGUAAAAUCUAUCAUUCAAGGCAUGUUAGUUUAUUCCUUUCAUAUUUAUGUGGCCUGCGCCUCUCUUACGUCAAUUGGAUGUGUGGACUCGUAAGUUUAUUUGAUAUUCAUACUUGGAAGGUUUGUACAGUUGCUUGGAAUUCAGUUUGCGCCCCUUUUGAUGUUGUAGGUUUGGGUACCAAGUCUUCGAAACAGCUUAAUAGGUUUGGGUACUAAGUCUUCGAAACAGUUUAAGAGGUUUGGCUAUCCCUCGUAGAACCUGCAACUGGAGAAAGAAGUUGGUAUGUAUUGAUAUGUUUUUCCAAGAUUGCAGAUAUAAAAAAAUUCACAUAAUCACACUACUCUUGACUCUUCUUUUACACACCGGUUAUCGAUGACUAUUUGAUUAAUAUCUGAUUAAAAUUCUUAUUUGAUAAUCGAGAGAUUCAUUUAUCUAUUUUGCAGCAAGCUAAGAAGUCUUGAAAUCUAGAACGAUUUGAUAUAUGACAAAAAUGGAGAAUGGUACCAGAUAGAUAAAUUAAACUUCUUCAAUACCAAUCGUUCUUUAUCAUUUUUAUUUUUGGGCUGUGAUUGUGAGACUAUGAAUUAAAUUUUGAACAUAUUUUAAAUAUUUCUUCUGAUUUUGUCUUUAUC